rnacentral:rRNA from 1 species
UGGGGAAUUUUGGACAAUGGGCGAAAGCCUGAUCCAGCCAUGCCGCGUGAGUGAGGAAGGCCUUCGGGUUGUAAAGCUCUUUUAGUCGGAAAGAAAGAGUUGCAAUGAAUAAUUGUGAUUUAUGACGGUACCGACAGAAAAAGCACCGGCUAACUCCGUGCCAGCAGCCGCGGUAAUACGGAGGGUGCGAGCGUUAUCCGGAUUUACUGGGUUUAAAGGGUGCGUAGGUGGGCUUAUAAGUCAGUGGUGAAAUCUCCGAGCUUAACUUGGAAACUGCCGUGGAUACUAUAGGUCUUGAAUUAUCUGGAGGUAAGCGGAAUAUGUCAUGUAGCGGUGAAAUGCUUAGAUAUGACAUAGAACACCAAUUGCGAAGGCAGCUUACUACAUAUAAAUUGACGCUGAGGCACGAAAGCGUGGGGAUCAAACA